rnacentral:tRNA from 1 species
UUGGCGCAGUAGGUAGUGCAUCAGUCUCGCAAGCUGAAGGUCCUGAGUUCGAUCCUCAGA